GGACUCCCUUCACAGCAGACCUCAAAACACCAUCAGAGAAAAUCAAAUUUGAGUAAAAUUCUUUGACCAAAUCAAUAUAAACCGACUCAAACAAACUUAGAAAGAAUUUUCAUCCUUGCUUAAUUAAUUUUUCUCCAAUAGAAAAACCAUUAUGCCUCAAAAACUUGAAAUCUAUAUUUCUUCCCAAACCAACCUUCCUUGCAGAUAGAGGAAUCUUACUUAGAGUGAUCGGUAGAGAUGCCUAGGUUGGCUCUUGUGCUGCCUUCUUCCUCUGUUCCUCAGCCUCCAAAGAUCUAACCGACUUCUUUCUCUACGGCAACCUCAUUUUGGGGGCCAUAUCCCAAGGAGAGGAUGGAUAAUGGUCAAAAGGGUGGAGAAAGAUGUGGAUUGAAGUGAAACUAAGAGGAGAAGAUGAUUUUGGAGAGUUUCUCAUGGAUUCUAUGGGUUAGAGUUUGGAAUUUGGGGAAAUCAAGAGAAUGAGCAAUGAGAACAAGAAAUUUGGGGAGAGUGAUCCACGAUUUUGUGAGAUUUUGAUGUUUGGGGUGAUCUAGAAGGAGAU
rnacentral:lncRNA from 1 species